GCUGGAGAACUAGGGGGGCUGCUCCUAGUACGAGAGGACCGGAGUGGACGCAUCACUGGUGUCGGGUUGUCAUGCCAAUGGCACUGCCCGGUAGCUAAAUGCGGAAGAGAUAAGUGCUGAAAGCAUCUAAGCACGAAACUUGCCCCGAGAUGAGUUCUCCCUGAGACUUAGAGUCUCCUGAAGGAACGUUGAAGACGACGACGUUGAUAGGCCGGGUGUGUAAGCGCAGCGAUGCGUUGAGCUAACCGGUACUAAUGAACCGUGAGGCUUAACCUUAC
rnacentral:rRNA from 1 species